GUCAGUGUGGCUCAGUGGUUGAGCAUCUACUUAUGAACCAGGAGGUCACAGGUUCAGUUUCCUGUCAGGACA
rnacentral:tRNA from 1 species